CCUACGGGAGGCUGCAGUGGGGAAUAUUGGACAAUGGGCGAAAGCCUGAUCCAGCCAUGCCGCGUGUGUGAAGAAGGCCUUCGGGUUGUAAAGCACUUUCAGUGGGGAAGAAAGCCUUGGGGCUAAUACCCUCGAGGAAGGACAUCACCCACAGAAGAAGCACCGGCUAACUCCGUGCCAGCAGCCGCGGUAAUACGGAGGGUGCGAGCGUUAAUCGGAAUUACUGGGCGUAAAGCGCGCGUAGGCGGUCUGUUAAGCCGGUUGUGAAAGCCCCGGGCUCAACCUGGGAACGGCAUCCGGAACUGUCAGGCUAGAGUGCAGGAGAGGAAGGUAGAAUUCCCGGUGUAGCGGUGAAAUGCGUAGAGAUCGGGAGGAAUACCAGUGGCGAAGGCGGCCUUCUGGACUGACACUGACGCUGAGGUGCGAAAGCGUGGGUAGCAAACAGGAUUAGAUACCCUAGUAGUC
rnacentral:rRNA from 1 species